UUAAUUUUAAAUUUUAAAAAUUCUCCCAGUAAAUUCAAUGAUACAAAUUCAAUUAGUAUACAUACUCUGUUUAAUUUUGUUUAAUUGUUUUCAAGUAGAAAUUCUGCUUCCAUCUUCAACAAACCUCUGAAAAAAUCAAAGGCAAUAAUUGUACUGAUAAGAAUUUCUAUAAGCUAAAAACGGAAUAUUAUUAUAUAAUUCUUUGAGGUUACGCUCCCGCAACGUUAAAAGCAUGGCAUCCAAUAACUAACGCGAAACACAAUCGCGAUUUAAUUAUAUCUAGUUACAUAUCCUAAAAGAGUAAAUUCAACUUCCGAUCAUUCAAUUAGAAUCGGAAUCGUCUUGUUCAGGAACCAAAAUCAAGGAAGAAAACGAGUUUUCCGGCAACUUAACUCGCUGAUCGCCUGGAUUUUGAACGUAAAUACUAGUACUACCGACCUUUUCGCCUUGCCUCCUCCUCAUUGAAACGCUAGUCUUGUUGUUGCGGCGGUGAACAACCGGAGUUCCAGGCUGCCGCUGCUUACCGUCAUUAUCACCAUCAACAACAACCACUCUCUUUUGGAUCGGCACCGUGGAGGGAGGAGUAGAGUCGAGGACAGGUGCAGGCUGUGGCGGACGAGGGUAGAAGAAAUCUGUGGGGAAAAAAUUAUACUGAAGACCAGCCAUGUGAAAUUGUAUUUGAAGGAAGAAAAGAGAAACUUUAAGCUUGAAUCUGCUUAAUUAUUUUGAUGCAAGGAAGUAUGUAUUUAUAAGGAGGGAAGGGAAGGAGGCGGUUAGUUACUUCGCCUUGGCUUGGGAUUCAAGUUUGGCUCGGAUUUGUAC
rnacentral:lncRNA from 1 species